rnacentral:rRNA from 1 species
AUUGUUUAGUUGCCAUCAUUCAGUUGGGCACUCUAGCGAGACUGCCGGUAAUAAACCGGAGGAAGGUGGGGAUGACGUCAAAUCAUCAUGCCCCUUAUGACCUGGGCUACACACGUGCUACAAUGGUUGGUACAACGAGUUGCGAGUCGGUGACGGCGAGCUAAUCUCUUAAAGCCAAUCUCAGUUCGGAUCGUAGGCUGCAACUCGCCUACAUGAAGUCGGAAUCGCUAGUAAUCGCGGAUCAGCACGCCGCGGUGAAUACGUUCCCGGGCCUU